GUCAAGCUGAGAAGUCCCAAAUAGAACGAAACGCGCGUCCUCGAU
rnacentral:hammerhead_ribozyme from 1 species